rnacentral:rRNA from 1 species
UUAAGCCAUGCGAGUCGAGAGAAUAAGAUUCUCGGCAUACCGCUCAGUAACACGUGGAUAACUGCCCUGUGCUGGGGGAUAACCUCGCGAAAGUGAGAACAAUACCCCAUGGGUCACUAUGCCUGGAACGGUUAGUGGCUGAAAGCUCUGGCGGCACAGGAUGGGUCUGCGGCGUAUCAGGUCGUAGGGGGUGUAACGUACCUCCUAGCCUUCGACGCGUACGGGUUGUGAGAGCAAUUGCCCGGAGAUGGAUUCUGAGACACGAAUCCAGGCCCUACGGGGCGCAGCAGGCGCGAAAACUUGACAAUGCGAGAAAUCGUGAUCAGGGGACUCCAGUUGGCUGGAUCAAAAGUCCAGUCUGAACCGACUUUAAAUCGGUCGGGUAAUAGGGGCGGGAAAGACCGGUGCCAGCCGCCGCGGUAAUACCGGCGCCCCAAGUGGUCGUCACUAUUAUUGGGCCUAAAACGUCCGUAGCCGGUUUGGUAAAUCCGUGGGUAAAUCAGACAGCCUAACUGUCUGAAUUCUGCGGGGACUGCCAGACUUGAGACCGGGAGAGGUGCGGGGUACCUGCGGGGUACCGGUAAAAUGGGAUCAUCCCGUAGAGACCACCUGUUGCGAAGGCGCCGCACUAGAACGGAUCUGACGGUCAGGGACGAAGCCUAGGGGCACGAACCGGAUUAGAUACCCGGGUAGUCCUAGGUGUAAACGCUGUGGACUUGGUGUCGGGGACCUUCUGAGGGUUUCCGGUGCCGGAGUGAAGAUGUUAAGUCCACUGCCUGGGGAGUACGUCGCAAGGCUGAAACUUAAAGGAUUGGCGGGGGAGCACCGCAACGAGAGGAGCGUGCGGUUUAAUUGGAU